AGCAGCCGCGGUAAUUCCAGCUCCAAUAGCGUAUAUUAAAGUUGUUGCAGUUAAAAAGCUCGUAGUUGAAUUUCGGGAUUGACGUGACGGUCAUGCCUUAAGGGGUAUGAACUGUUACAGUUGAUUUCUCACCUUCUGGAGAAACUUGAUGUCCUUUAUUGGGUGUCUUGCGGAUCCAGGACCUUUACCUUGAAAAAUUAGAGUGUUUAAAGCAGGCAUUUUUGCUCGAAUACAUUAGCAUGGAAUAAUAGAAUAGGACGGCAUGGUUCUAUUUUGUUGGUUUCUAGGAUCACCGUAAUGAUUAAUAGGGAUAGUUGGGGGCAUUAGUAUUCAAUUGUCAGAGGUGAAAUUCUUGGAUUUAUUGAAGACUAACUACUGCGAAAGCAUUUGCCAAGGAUGUUUUCAUUAAUCAAGAACGAAAGUUAGGGGAUCGAAGACGAUCAGAUACCGUCGUAGUCUUAACCAUAAACUAUGCCGACUAGGAAUCAGACGAUGUUAAUUUUUUAAUGUACUCGUUUGG
rnacentral:rRNA from 1 species